rnacentral:rRNA from 1 species
AGCGAACGCUGGCGGCAGGCCUAACACAUGCAAGUCGAACGAAGCCUUCGGGCUUAGUGGCGGACGGGUGAGUAACACGUGGGAACGUACCAUUUGGUUCGGAACAACUCAGGGAAACUUGAGCUAAUACCGGAUGAGCCCUUAGGGGGAAAGAUUUAUCGCCGAAAGAGCGGCCCGCGUUAGAUUAGCUAGUUGGUGAGGUAAAGGCUCACCAAGGCAACGAUCUAUAGCUGGUCUGAGAGGAUGAUCAGCCACACUGGGACUGAGACACGGCCCAGACUCCUACGGGAGGCAGCAGGGGGGAAUCUUGCGCAAUGGGCGAAAGCCUGAUCCAGCAAUGCCGCGUGAGUGAUGAAGGCCUUAGGGUUGUAAAAUUCUUUUACCAGGGACGAUAAUGACGGUACCUGGAGAAAAAGCCCCGGCUAACUUCGUGCCAGCAGCCGCCGUAACAC